rnacentral:lncRNA from 1 species
AAGACACAAAAAUCCAUGAAAUUGCCUAUCGUUUCUUACUUUCACAGGAGGGGUAUCGAGGUUUUCCUUGACCAGUUUAGGUUUUGGCAAAACGUACGUUAGCUCCAACUCGUGUUCUGCGAAAUCAACUUCAUAAUCCUCAUAUAUGGUUUUCACAAAAUCUUCAUAUCUAGUUUCCUCGUUAGCUGCAAGUAAUUUACUACCUUGAUCAUUAUCCACUUCAAAUAACCAUUUUUUUCUUUCAAAUUUCCACUUUCCACAAACCAGAAUGAUGUGAUCCAUGUUUCUCCAACCAAUAAGGAUUGCAACAAGUGUUUAAAAUAGAAUGAAAAGAAACAACUUGAAAAGGAAGAGAAGAGGGAUGAAAGAGAUGAC